CUACGUGCCAGCAGCCGCGGUAAUACGUAGGGCGCGAGCGUUGUCCGGAAUUAUUGGGCGUAAAGAGCUUGUAGGCGGUUUGUCGCGUCUGCUGUGAAAGGCCGGGGCUUAACUCCGUGUAUUGCAGUGGGUACGGGCAGACUAGAGUGCAGUAGGGGAGACUGGAAUUCCUGGUGUAGCGGUGGAAUGCGCAGAUAUCAGGAGGAACACCGAUGGCGAAGGCAGGUCUCUGGGCUGUAACUGACGCUGAGAAGCGAAAGCAUGGGGAGCGAACAGGAUUAGAUACCCUGGUAGUCCAUGCCGUAAACGUUGGGCACUAGGUGUGGGGGACAUUCCGCGUUUUCCGCGCCGUAGCUAACGCAUUAAGUGCCCCGCCUGGGGAGUACGGCCGCAAGGCUAAAACUCAAAGAAAUUGACGGGGGCCCGCACAAGCGGCGGAGCAUGCGGAUUAAUUCGAUGCAACGCGAAGAACCUUACCAAGGCUUGACAUGC
rnacentral:rRNA from 1 species